rnacentral:tRNA from 1 species
GCAUCGGUGGUUCAGUGGUAGAAUGCUCGCCUGCCACGCGGGUAGCCCGGGGUACAAUUCCCGGCUGAUGCA